CCUACGGGUGGCUGCAGUCGAGAAUCUUCGGCAAUGGGCGCAAGCCUGACCGAGCGACGCCGCGUGGAGGAUGAAGGCCUUCGGGUUGUAAACUCCUGUCGAGGGGGAGGCCUAUCCCUGGAGGAAGCACGGGCUAAGUUCGUGCCAGCAGCCGCGGUAAGACGAACCGUGCGAACGUUAUUCGGAAUCAUUGGGCUUAAAGCGCGUGUAGGCGGAUGGGAACGUCGGCGCUGAAAUACCCCGGCUCAACCGGGGAACUGGCAUCGAAACGACCCGUCUCGAGGGGCAUAGGGGGAGCUGGAACUUCCGGUGGAGCGGUGAAAUGCGUUGAGAUCGGAAGGAACGCCCGUGGCGAAAGCGAGCUCCUGGAUUCUCUGACGCUGAGACGCGAAAGCUAGGGUAGCGAACGGGAUUAGAUACCCUUGUAGUC
rnacentral:rRNA from 1 species